rnacentral:lncRNA from 1 species
UGCGAAGGUGCUGAUACCACUGACUGGAGCUACACUGACUCCCAAGCACUGCUGCGUGAAACAAUACGAAGAGGCUGCAGCGGAUGCAAGAUCUACUUGUGUCGCUGAGCUCGCGCUCCUCCUCCUCCUCCUCGCCAUAGAGACAGCACCCGGCGGCGGUGGCGGUGGCGGUAGCGGCGGCGGCAGCGGGUGCCCCAUAGACACCUCUCGCCCAGCGAAGGGAAAGGCGAGCAGAAGCUGCGCCGCACCGUGCUGCGCCGUCGCUUUUCGCACGUCCUGAC